GGAAAGAUGCGAGAGCGGUCGAUCCGGACGGUCUCGAAAACCGUUAUACCAAUUUUUGGUAUCGGGGGUUCGAAUCCCCCUCUUUCCG
rnacentral:tRNA from 1 species